rnacentral:lncRNA from 1 species
GCAAUUAAUUCAAAGAAAUGGAUUAAAGUUUUGCCCUCAUGAAUUUGGACAUGACCCCAGAUACUGUUUGUGUACUUUACUGGGAUUCCUUGGUACAGCUUUAUAAUUCUGGAAUGACUCUUACUGCUUCUGUCUUUGGAGCAUGGCUGUGCAUAUGAAGCUACUGAGAAGAGUGGCCAAAGCAAUUUGGAAGGAAUGACUCUUCACAAGAUUUAGUUCCGUCUCAUACUUCCAGGGCUGGUAAAAGGAAAUCUCUCAUUUCUAAAAGAGAAUUUCAGCUGUUCUGAAGCCUGCAGAUGCUGAAUAAGUACCUACAAGCAAAAAAAAAAAAAUCUUGACCUCUAUCUUGUAUCCUUUAUUACCUCAAAAAUUUGGAUAUAAUCAUUUAGGGAAGGUUGGCAAAACAAGGUUUAUUGGCCCUAAAUUUACCUAGCCUAUCUCAUUCUUCUUCAAGAUUGAGGACACCAAGAUAAGAGUAACUAAAAUAAUUCUCAGGGGCAUCAGCUUGAACAACAUCCAGUUUCAGAUCCUCUCCCUGCAGCAACACCCAGAGGUUUCCAGCAUUGUCCUAAACCUCGCAGACCACUCCGUGAUGAGAUCAACUUCUGAAGCAAGAACAGUCAUCUUAUGGGAACCAAAUUGCCCCUCAAACCAUGAUGAUUCCUCUUGAACUAGAAAGCAGGACCUCAGCCCACCACAUCACCCUGUAAAAUUGGUCUCCAUUCUUUUAUGAAGGGGCCAGUCUGAUUCACCUCUUUAGAUCUCUUCCAUCUGCUCUUAUUUUCCUUUGUUAGGGGACUGGCUUAAGCUGUGUCAGAGCUGUGUUCCCCUUUAUUUUCUCUUACUUUCCAAGUAACGCUUUUGCUGUACAUUAAUACUGUUGCUUUAGUUCCAAUUUCUGUAAUCAUGAAAGCAAGGACCCAUACUAGCUGGUGACAAAGUGUUUGCAACUAAAUCCUUUCUCUUUUGUGCUCCAUUUCAUUGUACUGCAUGACAACCAUUAAGUAUUUAGAGAAAAACUGAUGGCGGAAAAAAGCCUUUAAUUGGAUUUGGAUGGAAAUGCCCUGAUUAGAAGCCUAAAUUGUGUAAGACUAAACACUGUACAAUUCAUAUAAAUCUGGAAAUAAAGAAUUUCUGGUAUUUGUGUAGGUUAGUUCCUGAGCCCAUGUGAUAUGAAAGCUCCCCUGAGGAGCUUCUACCUGCUCUUCUGUUUCUGCCACUCUUAAACCCUCACUUCCAGGUGUCAACUUGUUAUGUCACCUUGAAGUUUCUGUGAUCAUAUUAUAAGGACUAUUGUAUUAACAUUGGACCCAGCUGGAUAAUCUAGGCUACUCUCUCACAUUUGAAGAUCCUUAACUCAAUCAUACAUGCGAAGUUUUUGCCGCUCACAGGUUAUGGGGAUCAGGGCAUAGACCCUCCCCCACAACUUAAUUGGAUUGAAAUUAUUCUCUAUGUGAUUCCAAAUAACUGACCUCCAACCUGAAUGUGUAUAAUUCAUGUGAACUUCUAAACAUUCCUUUCCCACCCUUUCAGCUUCAAAAGGUGAUAUAUUGUGCUUUCAUCAUCAAUCAUCAUCAUCAUCAUCAUCAUCCUGAGAAAGUCUAAAACAUAAUUACAGAACUUUAAGGUAAAGUAACAUCAAAUUUCUACUAGUCUAGGAUCAGUUGAGUAUUUAUUUCUAUGUUCUUGAGGCCUGGAGAUGGAAAAUAAAACACUUGAAUUUAUUUAUAAAAUUCUCACUUAAAUAGUCUUCCACAAUCCCCAUUGAAUCCCUGGCAACUUACUCUUCCAAUGGUUUCCUUCUUUAGCAAAGAGCAUCGAGAGAGUAUUAAACUUGAUGUAAUAAAAAUGUUCAGCAUCUUGAUCAAGGAAACAGAUAUACAUUUUCUAGUAUGAUUAGACAGAAUUUGAAGUCUCUUCAGAUCUUCAAUUUCUAUGAUUCUGUUGAAGGGUUUCUUAAAAUGAUAUUGAUGCUAAUAUCAAUGCAAUACAGUACUUUAAAGAAACUGCCAAUCUGUAACUCACUCUAGUAUUGCUCACUAGUGAACUUCUGUUGCUAAAGUUUUUCAAAGGCCUAUCACAUAGUUUGUCAAUAAUUUUCAGUGAUCCUUGUACUUGGUACCAGUGUAGUAAAAAAAGAGCUGAGAUUUAUAGUUGAAUGAAUCUGGACUCAGAUUUUAGCAAUGCUAUAGGCAUGUAUGCCAAUUUCUCUAAACUAUUGCUUCCUUAGUGGAAAAAAGGGAAUAGCAAGACCCAUAUUGCAGGGACUGGGGAAUUAGAUGUGAUAAUGAUGGAAAGUACUAGGUGCUGCCUACUGCAUAGUAGACACUCAAUAAAUGCUAACCCCAGACAUUCUGCCAAUGUUUAUCUUCUCCAGUGUGUGGCAGGAACUGAGCUUGGCUCUAAUUGCUUCCUUUUCCUCAUCAAAUUCAUCAUCUUUCACAGAAAAGAAGCAAACUGCCUCUAAUUUGACCCCUAACGACCUUGUCAAACUGUAUUAAUGUCCAUAAUAAAAAACAAGAGCAAAUAUGUUAAUGAAUAGUAAGAUUAUAGUUCUAGUGUAAAGAAUAAUUAAUUGUUAGCUUGAGUGAAGCUCCAUGUCUUCUGAUGGCUGCUGUUAUAUAAAAUUAUGAACUGUAAGAAACAAAAGGCCAGUAAUGGUCACAUGUGGCUGGCACGAGGGACUGUUAUAGUCCAGGAAUUCUCAGGUCAAAGAUAUGUUAAUUAUUGAAACAAAACAUGACUAUAAUCUAUUCUUUAUUGUGCUGUUUUUAUAAACAAAUUUGUUACAACUUUUAGCUACACUGUUUGUUUUCUUUCCUUAUUUAUGAUAGGAACAAACUGAUCAAAAUUAGAUGUAAAAACGUGUUAGUCUUUUCAGUUUCUUAUUUCUUUCAAACUUUUCUGACAUAUUUUGUGCUCCUUAAAUACAGAGAAAGAUUAUGUUGUUAAAUGUCAAAGGUAGAUGUCUCAACAUUAUGUUCCUCUACCUUGGGUCUGAACAGCAAAUGCAUUUGAGGUCAUUAUACUCCCAAAAUAAGAAAUGUAUAUUGUUCUGAAAUUUCUCAAGUUUAGCUCUCUUUCCUUAGACCAGCAUUGUUGUAUCUUAUUUGGGACUGCCAAUGCAGGUUAUAGAUUCAGCAGUGGUAUAAUAGUUACAUUCCCAUCUACCCAUUCCUUGUGAUUAAAAAAAAUUUUUUCUUAAUGAAAUUAUUUUUUCUUUAUACCUCACAUACAUGUAUUUUAGAAAACACACUUAUGCCUCUAAUAUCUGUAAACUAUUUUGGACUCUGAAUGAUUAACUUCCGUCUUACGUUGCUUAGUAAGAAGUAGUCUGAAGUUCACUCAUUGAAACACACACAUGCACAUGCACACACACCUGGCACAGAGCCUCUUUAUGUAGUAAAAAAAGGAGUAGAGUAUUCUGUGGUACAGAAUCAAGGGUGUAGAGGUUGGGCCUGUUAGUUAAAAUUAAUUUAACUUGAAUGUUCAUUUACUACCCCUUUUAUAAUUAUUAUGCCUCUCAAGACUUAAUGAAAUUUCAGAACAUGACACUGAUGGGGUAGUUUUGUUACUAAAUAAAUUCUGGAUAAAUAAAAUUCAAAGCCAAGAAUCUGAAAGCUUCAUUGCUGCAGGAAUAUAAAUUCACUGAAUUAUUAGUGGGACCGAGGAAAUUUGUAAGCUUUAAAUUUAUCUCAAUUCAGAAAAGAGCACUAGAGAUAUUUUGCUACUUAAAUUGUGUGUACUUAUCAAGAUUAAAGGAUUUUUCUUAAGCCAAAUUAUAGCUCUCUAGUACUUCCUGUGGAAACUAUCUAGCAUGACUAUUAAUGUGUAGCUCAUCUUCUCAGAGAGUCAUUACUAAUUGUAAAUUACUAUUAAGUAUGACUAUGCUCUUAAUUACAGUAGGUUUUGGACUGGUCAGUAGAAGGUCAGUGGAGAGGAAUCAUUUUCCCUUCCAAUAAUGUGAAUGGCAUAUAUCAUGAUUUAAAAUUUUCUAGCGUCCUUAAAAUUUAAAAAGUAUGAUUAUCAACAUUAUAAAUUAAACCUUAUGCAUUAUGUUCUCUCAUACAAAAUCAGAAGUCCACUGAUUUCACUUAUCUCUAAUGUGCUUCUAUUUCCUAUAUAAGAAGACCUUAGACUCAGUUUACUAGUGUAAAUUAUUACUUUUUAGUAUUACACAUGUUCUUUUUCAAGAAUUAUUGUUUUCACCCUGUUUUAUAUUGCUGUAAAAUAAUUAUACAAAAGAUUCUAUAUUAAAAAAGCAUUAAUCUUCUUUAUUAUUCUUUGUUAAAUAAUUUACUCAUCCUUGGACUCUAUUUUGAUUUUUCUUUUUCGGCCUUUAGGAUUUUUUAGUCUUUAGAAAUCUGUGGGGCUUGUUUUAUUACUACUUAUCAUUUUAUCCAAAAUGUGGUAUUUUGAUAAUUUUGUUUUAUUUUUUCUUAUUAUUUUAUUUAAUUGCUGUGGAGAAGAGCUCUGAGGACAAGCUGAGUUUUUUUUCCUUUACAAGUAAUAUUUUCCCCCCUGCAAAACCCAACCUCCUCUGCCUGACUCCUUAUAAGAAAUUAACUUUCCUUUCGACAUUCAAAUAUUUAACCAGGAUAUGACCAAGUGCUGAUCUCAUCUUAAUAUUGUUGCUGGCUAUAUGAUGAACACCUUUGAUCUGCAAAAUCAGAUCGUCAGCUCAGGGAAGUAUUUUUCUAUGUGCAUAACUUUUAUUUUGAUUUCAGUACUUCUUUCUCAUUUUCAUUUGUCUGUGAUCUAAGAGAGGGAUUCUGUCUUCUCCUUUACACAGGUAAUUCAGUUUCCACAGUAAUGAUUCUACUCUUUAUUGGUUAUAAUGCAGUUUAAAAUUUUAAUUAUAGUAAUAUCAGUCUCUUCCUAUUUUUCAUAUUUACCUAGUUCACUUUAUUUUUCUGUAUAUGACAAUGAUCUAAUCUUUCUCCUUUGUCUCAGAGUUGUUUUAUUGAAAUUUAUUAUGAGCACAAAGCAGGUGCUAUCUGAAUUUGAUUUCUGUUUUAAUAUAUAAUUUUUUCAGGUAGAUAGGUACUCUGUCUCUGUUUUUUGAUUACAGGGUUAUCUACCUUGGUUUUGCAGAAUCUUUUCAUAUAUUCUAUAUUGUUUAUCCAUCCUUGAACAUGAAGAGAUUGAGUUAGGCCUGACAUUAAGUAUAAAUCAGGUAGGAAGUUUCUGUGUGGGUCCUCAAUUCCUAAUAUGCCUAAAUCCAUUAGGUUAGACUCUUCGGUGUUUAGAUUGGAGGACUAGCUGAUGUAAGUUUUCAUGGUUAGGUCAGUGAUCUCACCAGCCAGUUAGGCAUGGAGAAAGAUGUAGGGCUUUAGGAAAGUCCAGAAGAACCAAUUUGUCUCUGAACCAUUACUCCCUGAGUUUGGUGAGGCAUGGGCACUGGGAGUGACCUUUUUGUGUCUGUUGUAUCCACUGCGUCAGCUUUUGCACCUACUCUGUGUCCCUGUCUGAUCUCUUUACUACUGUCCAAGGCUCAGAAGAGCUCCCCAAUACUAACAGAUGCCAGUUAUUCUGGAAUUUUCCCUUUAAUAGGCCACACUUACUUUUAAUAUCCCUCAAAGAGCUGCUUAUCAUCCAUGGUGGUGAAGUGGUUCCUAAUGGAAAGUUCUCUAUUUCUUCUGCUAGCUACCAUUGCAAAGGAAAAGAAAUAAAAAUCUAAUUCUCCCUCCUCCCUUUAGGGAGUGUGAGUGUGUUCUAUCUAUUUGCUUAAUAAAUAUGCGUUAAAUUUAAUUAUUGUUGAAUUGUCUUCCUACAGUUUUAAGUAGAAUGACCCCUCCUACGUACCAACAACAACAAAAAAGAUUAUCAGAAAUUUCUGGAAAUACAGCUUUUGUAAAAUAACACUUCUGACAACCAAUCUAACAACUUCAGUGAUGAUAUUGCUUAGGGAAGUUCAGGAGUCUAAUUCUACAGCAAAUUUCAGGUGGAAUGUCCUUCUUAAGGUAGCCACCCACCAUCGCAGGUCAGUAAGUAACAGUGACUUUCACUCUUUUAAAGGAAAAACACUAAUGCAAAUGUUGAUCAACAUCUAUUAACAAUGACUGAGCAAUGCUCAUUGCUUGGAAAGGUGAGAGGGUUAAAAUUUGAAUCAUUUUCUGAGGAAACCUGUUCAAGUCAGGCUAUAACUUCAUACUUCUGAGAGCAUGACAGGAUUGUAUCCCUAGGAUUUUUCUUCAAAUCUCUAGAUUCUACUUUUUCCGCCUUGUUUUUUGUUUCUCUUGAGCACUUCCAUGCCCAGACUAGGAGGCUAUUUUAGUAUCACUGUUCCGUAAAUUCUUUAGAUUAACCUUUAGUGGCACCAAAAUAGCCUAAGUAUGUGGAUAUACAGAUCUUAAUUAAUUUUUAAGGCAUAAUAGAGUUCCUAGAUACAAUAUAUGUUUUAAAAAAGAAAAGAAUUAGAAAACAGCUUAUCUAAGGAACUUACAAAUCAAUAAGAUAAACAACCAUACCAAAUGAGAAGCAGAAAAUAUAAGCAGACAUUUCACAGAAGAAAAAAUCCAGGUGAUCACAAACAUAGAAAGAGACAGCCUUACUAAUACCCAGAGAAAUACAAAUUAAAACAUCCUGAUGACAUUUCACAACAGUAAAAUUGACAGAGUCUAGGAAGUUUGUUAAAUGAAGUGUUGGUAGGGGAAAAGAAACUCUUAAUCACUGAUGGCAGAAGUACCAAUUGAUACAACUGCUUUGGACAGUGAUUUUGUGAUAGUAAGCAGAGUCGACUAUCUAUCUAUCUAUCUAUCUAUCUAUCUAUCUAUCUAUCUAUCUAUCUAUCUAUCUAUGUCCUAUGACCUUCCAUUUGGCUUCUGGGUUUCCAUCCUAGCGAAAUCUUUGUACUUCUCUGAGCCAUUCUUUUAAUAACAAUAAAUUGGAAAUGACUCAGAUGUCUAUCAGCAAGAGAAUGGAAACUACUAAACUGUGGUAUAUUGAUGAAGAUGGAAUGUUAUGCAAUACCAAAGUAAAUGAACAUUCUCAUAUGUCAACAUGGACAGGUUUUAAAGGCAGUGUUGAAUGAGAAAAAGGGAUUACAUUUUGAUACCACUUAUUUAAAUUUAAAAUGGCAAGCAAUGGUAAUACAGCAUUUAAUGAAUAUAUGUGAAUAUAUACACAUUGUAUGAUUAUAUGUGUGAAUUAAAUAUAUUUCAUUUUAGAAGAGUUUAUCUUCUAGGAUUGGAGAGAUGUAAAUGUAUCUGUGGAUGGAAAAAGAGAAGAUGGCAAUUUUCUUGUAAUGUGUGUGCCCAUUUCCUUAAAUAAAAGAGCUCUGGAAGUAAAUACUGCAAAGCAUGGCUCACUUACAAUAGUGGGUACAUUAGUAUUUGCUGUAUUUCCUUGUAAAUAUUAGGCUUUUGUAUUAAAAAAAAAAAAGGGAUCCUGUACAUAUACUCUUUGGGCCCCUAAUCUGUCACUAAAUUCUCUGCUGGUCCUAUGGGUGCCAGAACAUCAGCAACAUGCUGGAGGGCUUGCCUGUCCUUUCUGCACAUGGGAAGCUGUUUUCUAGCUCUUGAUUUUGUCUAGACAUAGUUUUUCUGCAGUGUUUUUCUCAGCUGCACAUAUGUUAAAUACCUCUGAAAAGUGACAUCAAUCCACUUUCAGGGGAGAAACAAUUUUAAAACUGCAAUUCAUCUGCAAUGAUUCUUAUUUUUAAUAUUUUAGGAUAAAUAUUAAAAUGUCAUCUAAAUGACAACAGUGCAAAUAAUGGAUUUUUAUACUCAGACAUUAUUGUUAUCUACUUCAUCUGCAAUGUUAUUUGAUACCUUAGGAGAACAAGAUUCUUUAUAAAAGUAGAUUGUGAUCUCUCUGUUUUAAAACACAACAUGAGAGGUAGACAUCUUUUCUUCUUACAUUUCCAAUCUAAUAAUCCUCCUUUUCAAUAGCCUUAGUGUUAUAAAAAAAUAAAAUUCAGAAAAAGAGUUGUACUUCUAUGGACCUCACCAGAAUCAUGUGGAGGGUUUUGAAGUGUUUUAAAGGAAAUUUCUGCCUUGCCUUAGGCUAGAGUAAGGGCUAGGAGUGAAGAGGGUGGAUCCAUAGGAAAGAAGGCUCAGCUCUGGUGUGAAGUGCUGUGGUGAUUAGAGGAAAUGACUUAUCAGUUCCUUUGUGAUCUCCAAAAGAAACCAUUUGUGAAAUCAAUGGCUGCCUGGCAGAGCCCAUCAACUGGCGGUCAAAGAUAUAUAUCUUCAUUACUAUCAGUUACCUGUGUCCUUUGGGUGGCUAGAAGGGACCUAAAUUCUAUAGGUCAGAGCACCAUCAUGAGUAAAGGCAUCACACUGAUUUACAUGCAAUUAUUAUAUGCAAGGGGAAGCUUGGCACUACUUUAUCUUACAGGAAAUCAAAUGCUGGCUUAACUGUUAUUAUCUAGACAGCUUAAUAUGUUCCUUAUGAGAAAAUUUCCAAUCUAUAUCAACCCACUUACAAGAACUAAUAGAUAGAGUGGAAAACAUAAAAUAUAAUUACUGUGGCAAUGAUGUGCACAAUCACUUCAGCUGCUGGGCUACUUUGGGAUGUUUAAACAGCUAAUGUGAAGUCAGGAAGGGGAGAACAUUUUUCUGAUUAGUGCUGUGUAGGGAAUACUGAGAAAAAGUACAUAGAAAAUGCUUGUAGCCAUGUGAAAUAGCCCAAGUGGAGCUGAAAUAAGACCCCCUUUCAUCCUACAAGUUAUUUUGGGGUUAGAAUGUUUAAAUAAAAACAAGAUGGAUAGUUCCUCAGGAUUUCAGAGCUGGAACAGAGAACCUUUUGCUGAGGCAAGGAGGAAUGGUGGAGGCAGUCACAUUCCAAUGAAAAAGUCCUCUACCAUGGAGGUUUGGCUCAGAAAGCAGUGGCUGGGCAUCUGGAGCCUGAAGACUUACACCUUUUAAUGGGGAAUACCUCUUUUUUUAAAUUUUUUUAAAUUUUUUUUUUGGGGGGGCGAAAUAUCUCUUUAUAGGUCCUUGGAAAUUUUGGAUCCUUGUGGUCUGGCAUGGCUAGGAGAUUGCAUCGUAGUGUAAAUAAGCCACACUGGGCUUCAGCAUUUUUCUUCUAAACAAUUCAAAUAGACCUUAAGAUAGUUAUUGGGACUUUGUGGGGUGAGGGUCACAUAAAUAACAGCUCACUUGCCCCUUUGGAUUUAGAAGUCAUUGAAAAAUAUAUUACUGGAAAGGACGUGGCUAAACAUCAAAAUGCCAUGUUUAGUGGUUCAGUUGAAUUGGAACAACUUGGAUCUGCAACUACCAGUACUUUCUCUGAAUGAAGCUCACUACCCAGCCACAGGCCUCUCCUAAGGCAGGACACUCAGGUUAUAUUCUGGGACACGGCUGUUCCUAUAGUUUGAAGGCUGAGGCCCAUGGUCCAGCCCUUCUCCCCAGUUCACUCAACUACUCAGGGAGGAGAAGGAGGAGGAAGAGGAAAAAGAAGGGAGUAGUAAGAGGCAGACCCAAAUAUUUCUCCCACACUUUUCCUGCUUAAUGUUUCUCUGUAUAGAAAUAUGAAAAGUAUUAUAUUAUCUCUAUAAUGGUCCUUGACCAUAUCAAAGAUCUAUUUAUUCUAAUUACAUCUUUGGGCUAAGAUUAGUCAACAUAUAGGAAUAUAUAUUUUGGAAUUGCCAGGAGCACUCAGAUAUCAACUCUGGGAAAUUAUAAACUAACAGUUAUUGAGUAUUAGCCAUCUCAGUCUAAGCUGCUCAUCUACAGAUGCAAAAUCAAAAGCCCUUAUAAGAGCAAUUUGCUCAGGGUCAGAGUUAGUUAACUGCAGGCUGGGACCAGUAGCCAGGGUUCUUUCUCCUUGGGUAAGGCUUCCUUUUAAGGAACUGUAUUCAUAUCAGUACUGGGAUAUUACUAGUAAAUAUUUUGGUGGGAGUGGUGCUACUUACAAUCUGACAAUCUCUGUUCCAAUAACAUGUUAUCCUAUUUCAUCCUUACAAUCAUAGUGAAAUUGAUAAUAUAAUUGUUUUCAUUUAACAGAUAAAAAAAUUCAUUCUCCAAGAGAGAAGAGAGACUUGUCCAAGGUCAUUCAGCAAAUGAGUGAGGACUCAGAUCCACCCAACAUUCUUCCCUAAAUCAAAGCUAUGAAAGAUCAUUAGGGAAGAUCUUGCCUAAUCUUCCAAUUCUACUGCACGGAAACAGGAAGUAUGAUUCCAAAGAAUGGGCCUAUGAGUGCACUUCCAAACCACAGCUAAUUUUCCCUAAGAGUCUUCCGGAUGGUGGGUUUUUUGAGUACUUUCCAGAAAAAAAAAGUCAAUUAAUAUCUUACUGUUACUUGUACAUAGAAUUGUAUAUAACUGUUCAAUAAAUUGCAAAACAGAGCCUCUGGCUUCACACAUUACUGAUAAUGAACAUCAGAACUUUGGUUGGUUCAAUUAACACAUUGUAAUUUCACUCAAUGAGAUGACUUUCAAUUAAAAACUUGUUAACUGCAUACAGAGACUAGAAGAAAGGCCAAAUGCUAACAUGUGGCAUCCUUUAAUUACAUGAAGAAAUGUUUGGAAUUCAAAGGUGAUGGGAAGCAUUUUGAUCUCCGCAUAAUGAACAAUUGUUCAUUAUCAUAGUCCUAUCGAAUUCUAAUUACUUACAGGAAUUAUAUGAUCCCUUAAAUAUUAGAAGUGGCAAAUACAGUGUAUACAAUAUUUUCAUGAAGUAAGAUUACUACAGGUUUAAUAGUGAAAUACAGUGAAGUCUUCCAAAAUUUUUGUUGUGUUUAUGCAGAGUCAGUGAGGUAAACAAUACAGUUAGAAUCAGGCAGACUACCAGAUAACAUGUUGACCUUCACUUUCUUCCCACUUCCUUCAGACAAAGGAAGCUUGGGAGGAGUAACAGGGGUACCUGCAGAUAACGUUUAAAAAGGAAAGAUGGUCAAGACAUGAGCUCUUGAGCCACAGAUUUUUAACUAUAUCACUUUCCCAGAGGAAAGUUAACUUUCUGUGGGGAAAGUUAAUCAAUGCAGAACUGGAAAAUCUGCCCGGAUAAAGAAUAGUCUGUGGUGCUGAAGUUUUGGCUCCAUGUUCUAAUGUUGAACUUGAUCAGCUAGGGGUACUUGAAGGACUCUUGCUGAGAUUGGCCAGGCCCAAGCUGUCUAAAAUGAAAAGUUCAAACUGUCUAAAAUGAAAACAGGAUAAAACUUUGGCUUUUUUCUCCAAAUUUGAAGGACCCAUUCUUAAAUUUUAGCAUUUCCAUGAGGGGUUGCCUGGUCAGGAGUAUAGAUUCCAGUGAAGGAGGCCUGAGGAAGUCAGAGUCACUCAUUGGUAGGCCACAGAUCAUGGCUGGUCCAUAGACAUAUUUUGUUCGGCUUAAGUAGUGUUUAAUUCUUACCUAAUUUUAGAAUCAAGAGACUUCUACAUGAAAUAAUUGUAUUUCUAGCUCUCUUUAAAAGUCAAGAUGUAGCUAGCUUAGCUCAUGUUUUUCCUGGAGGCUGGAGCUACACUGUGGCUACCCAUUCAGGUGAGAUAUAGACUCCUCACUUUGUUUUGUUUUGUUUUUUUUGGUACCGAGGCUCGAACUCGGGUCCUUGCGCUUGCGCAGCAGGUGGCAAAACCACUGAGCUAAAUCCCCGGCCCGAUAGACCCCUCACUUUGCACAGAGCAACCCACCACCAUUUGACCCCAGCUCUAUCUGCCUCUUCAUAUAUAUUAUUUGCCUGAGCCUCUAGUGUUGGGCUUUACAACUUCUGCUUGAUCUGGAUUCCUGGAGAACACUAGGAAAUAUAACCAAGUAAAGAUGCAGAGACCUUUCCACCACAACGUUAGUAGUCUGACAUAGUCAGUUCCUUGGUUUGGGGCAGUACUGUCUGUCCUUUGAAAAAAGGAGGGCAAUAAAACAUGGUGAAAAUCCUCAGAGGAAGAAAAGAGGGAGAGAAACACUGAUGCAGGUAAGUGCCUCCAGUACAGUAUCCUUCUUGGAACAGGUAGGUAAUGAACUCUCUUUGCCCUUGACUACCCCAAAACAAAUUGCCAUUUAAUUUUUUAAUUAAGCUGAAAAAAUAUCAGCCAGUGAAAAGUACAUCAAGCCAAUUCUGCUUUCUUGAACUACUUAACCAUUAACCUUCAUGCUCACAUCUACUUUGGUGAAAAGGACAUCUAUAUUUCUGGGAUAUUAAGGAAAAAAUCUUGCUCAUCACUGACUGUAAAAUGUAGUUCUCUUGCUACAUUUAUAAAACUGUACAGGUAAAAUGAGCUGUGGAUUUGAGAAUGUGGGUGACACAGGAGAGGAAAGACCAGGGAUAGCACAGCCCAUCAUCAGUAUUCAGAUUGUUGAAAUGUUGCCCAUGAAUUAAUUUGUUUAUUCAGGGCUCCCUGAGUAAUUCAUUCCCGUUAUCUUCACUUCUGAAUAAUGAGUUUGUAUCUUUUGAACUUCAUGCUAUUUCUAAAUUGGCCUUAAAACUCAUUUCACAUUUUAGAAUAAUAAUUCCUUUGUAUUAAAAACUAUGUGGACAAGGACGUAAUAAAUAAAAUCCUUUGGACCAAAGGAGACCUGAGUCAUAGUCUCUGCUCUUCUGUGAACCACUGUGUUACUCAGUGUGGUCAUACCACCUCUCUGAGCCUUACUUUUUACUUUGUAAAGAAGAUAUGAGAACUGGAUGAUCUUUCAGACUUUUUGAAAUUUUUAUAUUUUGAGAAACAAAGAAUUGGGAGAUGUUCUUAAAUUCGAGGCAGGCUGGUACCACUGGAUACUAACAAAUAAGUAAAACAUAGUAGUUUCCCUCUGGGUUUCUUUAUGCAAAGACCUAUUUUGAUCACUUUCUUUUUUUUUGAAAAAGCAUACUUAAGCUAGAAAAUCAUAAGAAAUAACACAUACUUUAGAUAUUUUAAGUUAUCACACAUUUAUUUUCUAAUAUUUCAUAGGGCUAAGGACUUUUUUUUUAUUUUUGGGUCUGUUAAUUAGUCAUCCAUUAGAAACUUUGUGACUUCUAGGACUGAUUUAAUGUGGAGCAAGAAUUUAGCCAUUGAGAAAGUUUAUAACAUUUCUUACUUGGUUUCCUUUAUCAAGAUUAAGCAUUUAACUCAGUUUUCACAAUACUGUUUUUGCCUUUGUAUUUCAUUGGUUUAGUUAAUAUUUAAUUACAUUACAUAAUUGUUAUAAUGUGUGCAAAUAGCAUAAGCAAAGACAAUAAUGCUUGGUAAGGAUAGAGCUCAUAUGGAAUGCAGGAAAGUACUGGAUUUGGGGAUACUAUACAUUAGUGAUCAACAUGUUGAGGUCCUAGUUAGUACAUGGAUAAUAAAAAGUCAAUUAGGGGUGGGGAAGUAGCUGAGUCACAAAGUACUUGUCUAUCAUGCUUGAGUCCCUGUGUUCAGUCCCCAGUACUACUAAAUAAGAAAAUAAAUAGUCCAUAAAAUGUAAGUUGAUCAAUCAGACUGCCAAAUGAAUGUUUUCUCAGUUCAAAUUGAUUGCAGGUAAACAAAACAAUCCUAAUAAACUUAGGCAAGGAAAGCAAUUUAUUGGAAGGCUCUGAGAUGACACACUAAACUGAAGGGAAAGCCAAACAGCUAGUUCUCUGAAAAAUAAGAACUUGGGAAACACUGAUUAUCUCAGGAGCAGGCACUAAUGGACAAUCUCUUCAGGGUGUCAUCACUGGAUAAAUUGGCUCCAAAUGUCUUUUCAUCUUUUUGUCACUCUGAUCAAGACCAGACUCUCCAGGAGAGACUCGAAUUGGUCUAUGGCACAUAUGUACUAUCUUAAAGCAAAAACAACAACAACAACAACAAAAAAAACCAGACAAGAUAGAGAACUUCUACAAGACAGCAUGAACUGAGGAUGGAUCAUUCUCCAAAGGCAAUUUAGAAACUGUCACUAGAGGGAGGGAACUAUGCAUGGUGCGCCUAGGCCUAUAUAAGUGUAUUAGUCCAAUAAGAUACAUAGAGAUACAGAGAAAGUGAUUUGUUACGCAGAAUUGGCUCACAUAAUUAUAGAGGCAGAGAAGAUCCAGUUUUUGCUGUCUGCAAGCUGGAGCCUAGGAAAGGUAUAGUUUCACUCCAAAUCUGAAGGCUUGAGGGGCCGGGGAUUUACCUCAGUGGUUCUGCUGCCUACCUCGCAAGCGCAAGGUCCCGAGUUUGAUCCCCAGUAAGAACAACAAUAAAAAAGUGUACCAAAUCUGAAGGCCUGAGAACCAGAAAAGUCCAUGUUCAAGGCCAGAGAACAUGGAUGUUCUAGCUCUAGCAGAGAAAAUUCACCCUUCAUCUGCCUUUGUGCCCUACUCAGACCCUCAGUGGAUUGGAUGACGCCCAUUACCAUUGGUGAUGAGGAUCUUUUUUACACAGCCUACUGAUUCAUAUGUGACUCUCUUCUGGGCAGCCCUGUCAAGUUGACAUAUAAUUUAACCACCACAUUAAAUAUAUGUGCAGAAUAUAGCCUUAGCUAUGGGUUAACAGCGUAAGAGGUGACUAAUGAUUCUGGCUAGAAGGCAGCAAAGGAUGUUCACAAUACAAGAAAACCUUCAGUAGUUGAGUAUAGCAUUAAGCUUCCACAUCUAUUGUUUUCUGAAACUCUCAAGGUUGCAACCUUCAGAAGCUCUAUGCAAAAUGCACCAGUUUCCUUGACCAUCCACACUGUUUCAGCUGAGAGUAGGUGGGGAGGUCUAUAUUCUGGCCGUAGCUUGUUACUUAAUAAAUGUGUGAUCACGGGUGGGCCAUUGCUUCUGAAGCCC